UGGGGGUGGUGACCCCUGCCUUUGGCCAA
rnacentral:piRNA from 1 species